GGGGGGUUUUGGGGCUGGGGUGGAAAUGGAGGUUUUUUGAAGCAGACCCCCCAAAAUGCCUUAAAUUGGCUUAAAAAUGCCUUAAAAACGAGCGUUUAUGAGUGGAAAUCUGUGAGAUUUUGGGGGAAGUUUCUCAGAUUUUGGGUCAGUCCGUGAGGAAAACAUGGAGGGCUCCAUUAGCAGUUAUUGGAAGAAUUCGUGUGGAGAUUUUGGGGUAAAAAUGUGAGAUUUUGGGUCAUUCCAUGAGGAAAAGAUGGAGAACUCCAUGAGGAGAUUUGGGGGGGGAUUUGUGUGGAGAUUUUGAGGUAAAAAUGUGAGAUUUUGGGUCAUUUUGUGACAGAAAAGGUGGAGAACUCCAUGAGGACAUUUUGGAGGGAUUCAUGAGGAGAUUUUGAGGUAAAAAAUGUGAGAUUUGGGGUCAUUUUGUGACAGAAAAGGUGGAGGACUCCAUGAGGAGAUUUUGGAGGAAUUUGUGUGGAGAUUUUGAGGUAAAAAUGUGAGAUUUUGGGUCAUUUUGUGACAGAAAAGGUGGAGGACUCCAUGAGGAGAUUUUGGAGGAAUUUGUGUGGAGAUUUUGAG
ensembl:lncRNA